AUGAAGACUGACGCUCUGGAAACUGGAGACCUCAGCCUGAACCUGACCAACCUCCACCUGUCUGACAGCGCCACCUACACCUGCUCCGUCACAUCAUUUAGACUGAGAGAUGUCCCACUGCAGGUCAAAGAACCAUUUCCAUCCUGGGCCACAGCUCUGCUGGUUCUCCUGGUUCUCCUGGUUCUCCUGGCUCUCCUGGUUCUGCUGGUUCUCCUGGCUCUCCUGGCUCUCCUGGUUCUGCUGGUUCUCCUGGCUGUCCUGGCUCUCCUGGUUCUGCUGGUUCUCCUGGCUCUCCUGGCUCUCCUGGUUCUGCUGGUUCUCCUGGUUCUCCUGGUUCUGCAAACUGGCUUGUUGUUACCCACCAGUCUACCGUUGUUGACAGCGCUGUCGGCCGCUGGGUUUGUUGUUGUUUUUUUCUGUCAGUGCGCCCCAGGGUGGCUGUGGCUACAAUGUAGCUUGCCAUCACCAGUGUGUGAAUGGGUGGAUGACUGGAUAUGUAAAGCGCUUUGGGGUCCUUAGGGACGAUUAAAGCACUAUAUAAAUACAGGCCAUUUACCAUUUAGUCUCAUUUCUGCUGCUCAAAACUGAACAAACUUUGUAAAAUGAUGCAAAACUGCAAAACUCUCAGCUGUGUCUGUAAUCAAACCUCUGUAACUUUGCUUCACUUCAUCAGGUCAUGUUCACAUGUGUUUUUGUUCUACUGCAGAAUAUUUUUAAGGUCAUCUGCUAUAAAAAGCCAGGCCAGGAAAAUCUGCUUCAUGUUCUUCUGUUUUAUCCUCAGUGACUUUGACACAAAGGCCUCUGCUGUGAUGCUCACACCUCUGAUGAAGUCUCACAGUGUCAGCUUUCUUUUAUAGAUAUAAAAAUAUGGAAAUGAAUGAUAAUAUUUCUGACUGUCUGAGGCAAACUUCAGCGAUUCAAAGUGAAUGGAUUGUAGAAAUGAGUGAGGAUACCCAGCCCUGUUAGCAGGUGUCCUCUGGUGGCUCCUUGACUGUCACACAAUCAUGUGCUGACAGGAAAUGUUGCAGCAGCUUCAGUAAAUGUUCCUCCCUGAGUUGUGCUCAGUCAUGUGGUGGAGAGCUUCAGAUGUUCAGAGCAGGAGAGCUCCAACAAGACCAGGACUGUUCCACCAUCUGCUGACAUCACAAUAUAACUGCUUAGUGUUAGUAGUGCAGUGUCAGUGGAUGCAUUUGACCAAAACCAGAGUGGAAACGGUCACAGAUGUGGUGUUUCUUCAAGCAGGCUGUGAGGUGGGCAGCAAGCGGCUUCUCAACAAGCUUUGACCUGAAAGAGAAACUGAUCUAUAAUGUUGAUGUAAUGUUGGAUCUAAGCUGGGUUUGCUGAGCUUUGCUUCCACAACGGCAUGUUUGAAAAAGCUGGAACACUCCAGUCUGAAGAAAAGCAUUAAAAAGGUUUACAAGGCAAAAAGCUUUGUGGGGAGAAUCUCUGAGGGAGCUGCAGACGGCUGAUUCUCAUCAAAUGUCACAGGUGUAAAAGUAGAGCAGCAGUGAGCUGCACAACAAGAACGCUCUGGGGGGGUUUGUCAUUGAUUUCUUUGGUCUACAGAAAAUCAGACUUUUGUUGCUGUCUGCUUUAGAGACACAUUUAUAGGUGAGGCAGCUCGAGACGCAACAGCUGAUUGUGUCAAACAAAACUUUGAAUUUCUCCCAUUUUCUGAUCUGAGUUUUGUUUCUGAAGUUUCAAAUAGACUCAUUUAUCCAAUGGCACGUCCUCAAGUGAAGGUCAACAAAGACGCAGUUGUGGUCACUCAAAGCUACAUCCUCCGCAGACACGUUGCUGAUGCUGAGGCCCAAAGAAAGGAAGCGUGUGAGACAUGGCCGACUGUGGAGGCUCAGUCUGUCUGUUCUUCUUCAUCCAACAUGUCUGCAGCACUUUACAGGACGCUGCAGACUAGUUACCAAAGAACGAGUCAGGAACACAUCAGGAACAAACUGAGACACACAAGUUUUACAGAGACCCAACGAAGAUGAAGAGAAAGCUGCUGUAACCUGGAGACCUCAGUCUGACCCUGAAAUACCCACAGAUGGAGACACAAACACCUCCACCUGCACCGUCUGCAGCAGGGAGGAAACAUCCUGCUGAAGAAACAAGUGCUGCUCACUGUCAGGGCUCAGUGCUGUAGAUGCAGGUCAGAGGUCAGAGGUCACGGUGGGACCAGUAU
rnacentral:lncRNA from 1 species